GACGAACGCUGGCGGCGUGCUUAACACAUGCAAGUCGUACGGUAAGGCCCUUUCGGGGGUACACGAGUGGCGAACGGGUGAGUAACACGUGAGUAACCUGCCCACAACUUUGGGAUAACGCUAGGAAACUGGUGCUAAUACUGGAUAUGUGCUCCUGCUGCAUGGUGGGGGUUGGAAAGCUCCGGCGGUUGUGGAUGGACUCGCGGCCUAUCAGCUUGUUGGUGGGGUAGUGGCCUACCAAGGCGGCGACGGGUAGCCGGCCAGAGAGGGUGACCGGCCACACUGGGACUGAGAUACGGCCCAGACGGCUACGGGAGGCAGCAGGGGGGAAUAUUGCACAAGGGGCGCAAGCCUGAUGCAGCAACGCCGCGUGCGGGAUGACGGCCUUCUGGUUGUAAACCGCUUUCAGCAGGGACGAAGCUUUUUGUGGCGGUACCUGCAGAAGAAGCACCGGCUAACUACGUG
rnacentral:rRNA from 1 species